rnacentral:rRNA from 1 species
UACGGGGGGAGCAAGCGUUGUUCGGAUUUACUGGGCGUAAAGGGCGCGUAGGCGGCCACCGCAAGUCGGUUGUGAAAUCUCUGGGCUUAACCCAGAAAGGUCAACCGAUACUGCGGGGCUAGAGUGCAGAAGGGGCAACUGGAAUUCUCGGUGUAGCGGUGAAAUGCGUAGAUAUCGAGAGGAACACCUGUAGCGAAGGCGGCACUCUGGGCCGGAACUGACGCUGAGGAGCGAAAGCGUGGGGAGCAAACAGG